AGCCCGCGGCCAGGGCCCCCAGCCCCGAGGUCACUGGCCCAAAAGCUGCUGCCAGGGACCACGCCCUCAGUAGGGAUAAGGGGACACGGCGAUGAGCAGGACGAAGACGCUCUGGUGGCGCGGCGCGGCGGCGCGCACGGUGGUCCUACCAUUCAGAGGAGCCUGAGGACCCAUGAUCGUGAAGUUCUAGAACACUGGAGCAAGAAAGGCCAUACAGGUUGCCAAUCCAGGGCGGCUCCUGAGUUUCAUCUCAAAGGCUAAUUGCAGCUGAUUCACAGUGGCUACUGGAGAAGCUGCGUUGAGUAGGAUUCAGAGGCUGUCUUUAGGCCGGCCGGGCCUCAAUCUAUGAGGGAACCUGGGAAGCGGCAGCAUAUGUGUGCCCUCCCUGACCUGGUGCCCCUUCAUCAGACAAGAAACCGGACAGGAAAAGACACUUGUCCAAGGAUAAUCAAAGUGCCAGCAGCCAGGCCAGGCCAGGCCCCAGACCUUUGGAGUGUGGCUCAAGCUUUUGCCCUGGUCUCAUGGCUCCUUCUGCCAAGAGAGUUCUGCUUUUCCCUGGAGGCCCAGAGUCCCAGUGGCACAGAGAACCUCCUCUACUGAACCCUGGAAACCCUGGAGUAUGGACAGCCCCACAUCAUGCCCCUGUCACCUUCACAGCCGGCCCCAUGAGGGGCUACCCGGAAGCCAGGCCUGCAGUCGGGGAGGCAGUGGUAGGACCCAAAGAGGUUCACGCAGCGCUGUCCCUCCUGGCAGAGAUCUGCGUCAGCCAGGCUCUCGGGGACGACACCACUGACCACCACGUCAAGGAGCAGGAGGCCAUUGGAAUCCAGGCCCCGGGCCUCCUGGGUCAUCAUGAGCAGCUCUCCUGCAAUCCAUCCCCGCCCAGCCUGGAGUCAGCAUGGGGGAGAGGCCCUGGGCUCAGGCCUUAGCCCCAUGUGGCCCACUGGGAAGGAGAUGCCCCCACCCCGCUCACCUGUGGCAAACUCCACAUGCGACUCCUGUAGGAAGCUGCCACCCGUCAGAGAGUGGCCAUUCAGGACAUCCCCAUUCUCUCCAGCCAGGGCCCAGUAGAUGGGGGCGAUGCUGACCACGAGUACCCGCAUCAGGGGCCCUGCAUGGGAUGGGCGUGGAGGCUGGGUCAGGGCCAGAUCCUGAGGGCUGCCACUCUCCCGCUCAAGAUCCCUCUGUAGCUCCCUGUUGCCCCAGGAGGGCUUAGCCCCUUCCCUCCCUGCUCAGGCCCAGCCCUGUGAUCACCUGAGUCAGUUAUUGGAUCAGAACCUGGGAAGGGGUGAAGGCAAAUAUCCAGUCUGUGGAGUGGUUGUGAAAACGAACAAAAUACAUUUAUACAAAGAA